GCCGCUCCCGCGGCACAUGGAGAUUCCCAGGCUAGGGGUCUAAUCGGAGCUGUAGCUACUGGCCUGCGCUAGAGCCACAGCAGCACGGGAUCCAAGCUGUGUCUGCGACCUACACCACAGCUCACGGCAACGCCGGAUCCUUAACCCACUGAGCAAGGCCAGGGAUUGAACCGGCAACCUCAUGGUUCCUAGUCGGAUUCGUUAACCACUGAGCCACGACAGGAACUCCAGUCACACUCCUUAGAUCUAUUAAUUUGAUCAAAUAUAAUACAUUUCCUAGUAGUGCCUUCCUAUACUAUCCUUGCAUUUCUGUAAUGAACUCCACUUAUCCAUGGCAUUUUCUUGUACUUUUUUGGUUGCACUCUCAGUAUGUGGAAGUUCCCAGGCCAGGGAUAGAAUCCAAGCUGCAGCUGUGACCUAUGCCACGGCUGCAGCAAUGCUGGAUCCUUAACUGAACGGGACUGGGGACUGAACUGGUGCCACCACAGAAACAAGCCAGAUCAGUAAUCCACUGUGCUAUAGCAGGAACUCCAUGAAUUUUUGCAAAGUUAUUCAUUGAGAUUUUGGCAAUUUUUUGGGUGCUAUUACAUAGUGAUCAAAGAGUAUUACCUAUAAUGUUUCUAUAUUUUGGGAUUGACUGACUUUCAUUGUGGCCUAAUUUAUGGACAAUCUUUAUGCAUGUUCCUUGGUCACUCAAAAAAAACAGUGCUGUCUAUAUUUUCAGGAUGUAGACUUGAAUAAUGUAUAUUUCAUUAGUGAUGUUAUAUAUGGCUUCUUUGAACUUCAAAUAUUUUGACUUGAUUUAUAAUGGACAAGGGUUUUCAUUUAUGCAUAUUUCUCCAUGCAUCUGCUGUAAUUUCUGCCCUAUAAGGGUGGUUGCUAUGUUGUUUGGUGAAUAUAUAUUCAUAAUUGACACAGAAUCAUUUUGAGUUUGUUUGUUUUUCUUUUUACGGCUGCACCUGCAGCAUAUGGAAGCUUCCAGGCUAGGGGCUGGGGGUCGAAUCAGAGCUACAGCUGCAGGCCACAGCCACAGCCACAGCCAUGGCAGAUUCCAGCUGCAUCCACCAACCUAUGCUUCAGCUUGUGGCAAUGCCAGAUCCUUAAUCCACUGAGCAAGGCCAGGGAUUGAACCCACAUCCUCAGGGACACUGUUGGGUGUUUAACUUGCUGAGCCACAACAGGAACGCCUGUGUUUUGAGUUUUAUUGUUUGGCAUGACAAAGUGCCCCUUAUCUUGUUACAUGUAUUUGUUGGCUUGCAUUGCACCUUGGUCAGGUCACAGCCUGACUUCACAUUCAGUUCCCUUUGCCUGGUACGUCUCUCCUCUCUGCUUUCUGAGUCACUGUGAUCUGUGUGUCUCAUGGACAGGAUUCCACUUGCGAUACCAUCCCCUGUCUCCAGCCUGCUCACUGCUUCCUGCACCUGCUGGCACCAAAGGAGGGCUGUGGCUUUCUGUGCCUGCCCUCCAGGUGACCCUCAUCCUCAGGGAGAGGACUUUUUUCUGGGUGCUCUGUGAGGUCCCUACAGAUAGUCUGCUUACGAGUGUCCCCACAUGCUGCUUCAUGAACAAAAUGCUUGCAUCUGUCAGCAAGGCUCGUGAUUCCAGUGUUGUUUACUCUAAUAGAGCUCAGGUAGACAUCGGCUUUUAGAAUGAUGAUUUUGGCGGUGGGACAGUUGAUGCCUCACUUGGGCAGCCUGACGCACUAUCCCUCUGCCCUCUGGACCACACUGAGUUUGCAGAGCAGGGAUCCUGUGACACAGACUGGGAGGGUGGGGUCAGGUUUCUCAGGAUGUCACUUCCUCCUCCUUUCCUACACAGGUAGGGGACAAUACAGCCCUCAGGUCCACUGCAGAGGGGCCCAUGUGUAGGGAGAGAUGCUUGCCUGGGUCCCAAAGGCAGAGCUUCAGUUUAUAAGAAGUGGGGUGAUGGCAGGUUUAGCUCACUUCUGAAAGUGCUAAUGUUGUUGAACCCUGGAGGGUUUCCUUAGUGGAACUGCUUUUCUGGGGAAACUUUAAAGUCAAAGAGACCCUUCUCUCGUGAGGACAGCAUGGUGCAGGGCUGCCCCCGGCUCGGGGGUCUGGAUAAACGGCAGUGCCUCCUCCUCUGGAAUGUUCAGAUAGAACACUCCGGGUCCAGAUGAGUCAUUUUCAAACUUAGGCCCCAGAACGAUGAUCAGUCAGGAGAUUGUACUCAAUGAUGUGCAGAUUUAAAGACACACAGUGAUGAUGUGACUAGAUGCUCCGUCAUGAGAAAGCGAAGGCAGGACCCGGAAUCUGCACAGCAACGCUACUUGUCUUUCGGGCUUAGGGAUGGAAGACUACAGUCAGCUUUGAAUUGCCAUUUGUUAAAAGAAACACAAGAAUGUCCACAUUUCUCUUUCUGGGAGGAAAGAGAAAAGGUAAGUGGGGAAACGUGUGGCAAUCUUUUGCACCGAGACAUGGAAGGAUUGUGUUCCCUUCUGACCAGAAAUUGCCAAGUUGUUUCCAGAUUCAACAUCUGAAUCAUGCCCGCUGGGGGGACACUGUUUGAGCAAGACGGGGAUUCUGAACAUUCUUGGAGGCCUCGUAAAAGCCCUGGAAUGAUGGCAAAGGCUUGUGUUGUGGUCACGUAAAGAAAAGCCCCCUCGUGAUGGGAUCGAGUUUGUGGGUUGUGUGUUUACAGUUUCAGCAGCAGAGGGGUGCGGAGCUUGGCAUGGGAGCAGCUGGGAGGUGGGGCUGAGCCAGGGAUGAGCCAAGUGGGGUGCCUGUGGGACCAGAGGACAGCAUCUGAGGGCUGGGGGGUUGUUUACAAAGCAGACUCUUCCUCAGGCCCCAGGGUGGGGGAGUGGCUGGCAGGACACUUUGCCACCCUUGUCAGGGCACCGUGUCACCACGGGAGCUUGGCUCCACGAAGGCUCUGAAAGCCCACUCAAGUCAACUCAGGGAGCCUGUGUUUGCAGGGCUGAAGGGUCCCUCUCUUUGCCUGCCCAGGACUCUGGGGCAUGAAUUCAGGGUGGUCAGCUCCUGGGAAACAAGGCGGGUCCAAGGCCACUGGAAUUUUCAGCCAGGCCGCGCACCCACCACCUCAUGGGAUGACAGACCUCUGGUGCCACACUUGCCAAGAGGGGCUGGCAGGUGGCAGAAGAGAUAUUCCUUUCACCGCCUGUGAGAUUUUUAUGCAGUUGGGAGAGGGACUGAGACACCAAAACAAGGAAAUAGGGAAAUACCGUCUCUGCAUAAUUGCUAAAGUUGGACCUGGAUUUCAGAUUAAAAAGGCAUGUUUUCCUGAACAGCGGAGCAUGAUGUAAGCAAACGAGAGAACAGUGUCUUGUCCAGGUCCUAGGCCUGGGGGGGAGGGGGGAGGGUGGGAAGGCCGACGGGGGGAACAGGGGCCAGCAUCCUGCCCCAUCGUUCUGCUCUGAGCUCAUGGCUGCUCCAGGUUGGGCCACAGCUCUUUACCUGGAGUCUAAGAAAUUGCUCCCUCUCCCCAGAAAUAAGCUUCCAACAGGUAAUUGUAGGACAGUGACAGUGGCGGGUGAGUAAGCUAUGAGUCUUGUUGUGAUGAAGGCAGUGUCACAAGACAGCGUUGCAAGCAUGCCGUUAGCCACUCACUCAACCUAGCAUUUACUCUGUUUAUUGGGAACCAGCCUCUGCCCCAUCAUCAGAGCAAAGACCCAGGCCUCAAUUUUCAGAGUUUAGCAGUGGCCAGGGAAGGGAAAAACACCACAAAAUGAACCCAUGUGCCUUUGAAACAGCGGCAGAAUAAUUAAGUGUGUCCGUGCUGGUCUGAAGUGUGGUUCUCAAGCUGAAUGCAUCCGAAUCAAAGGAAGAAAUGCAGGUUCCUGGGCCCACCCUGGGACUCAGAGGGUCAGGGCUGGGUCGGGGUGGGGAGGUGUCUUUAAACCAGUAUCCUCUGUGAAUAAUGGAAAUGCGGCUCAAAAUCAACUCUGAGACUCAAGAGGCUAGAACAUGAUAUGCCUCCCUUUUCUUAUCUCCUUAGGGCCACACCCAGGCUUAUGGAGGUUCCUUGGCUAGGGGUCGAAUUGGAGCUGCAGCUGCCUGCCUACACCACAGCCACAGCAACGCAGCAUCUGAGCUGCAUCUGUGCCCUACACCACAUCUCACGGCAAUGCCGGAUCCUUAACCCACUGAGCAAGGGCAGGGAUCGAACCCUCAAGCUAGGAUCGAUCGCAUCGCAUCAUCACGGAUACUCGUCAGGAUGGUAACCUGCUGAGCCACAACAGGAACUCCUGCUAGCACGUUAUUAAAGAAGAGGUGGGACGAAGGUAACACCGGGUGUGGGCUUCACACACACACACACACACACACACACACACGCACACGUCAUUUACUUCUAAUGCAGACCUGGGGGCAGGCACCCACACUUUAGCAGGGAAUCUGGUCACGGUCAGCAGCUGAGGUCUGCACUAUUCUCCUGACCAGUGUGUGCCCUUCGUGAGAUGGAGCGAGUUGGGGAGGAGGAGGCGACACAGCUGGGGAUGAGCCAAUCCCUGCCCCGGCAACUCCCCAGCCUCUACGCGGCCCCCAGUGCUGUCCCCCAGCUGUAGAAGGACAGGCACAUUACACCAGUGUCUCUAGGACCCUGCAGCUUACUGUUUUCACUGAGCUGUAUAACUCAGACAUCUUUCUGGGUGGGUUUCCUGACUUUUUGCCCGUUGGAAGACAGUUAUUUUGGAACUGCCAUUCUUGCAGCAAAGAACCAAAGUAUCAUUAAUCAAGGGUGCUGACUGCAUCGUUAGCUGGGGUGGUUUGUGGCUUGGAGUCUGCUGAUUUUUGUCCUGUUCUGGGGCAGCUGUACAUUUCACCAGCUCGUCCUACUGGACAUCAAUGCCACGAGCCGGGGAAGCACGUGGUGGGCCUGCAGCUGAGCACCACCUGCGGGCCAAGACCUCACCCAGCCCACUGCCUCAUCCCUAAGCCCCAGGGCGUUGGGUUACAGUGGAAGCUCAGGCUUUAGGAUGCUGGCAGAAGAGGCCAGGGUGGCCCAGACUCCAGGAUUCUGUUUAAGGAAUCCACUAGUAGCAAGAACUUGCAGGUGUCAGGUGCAUCCUGACCAGGCCUCAGACUUGUGUAUGUCAGAUAACCCUGGGGCUUGUCAUAAAUCCUGCAGACUCUGCACUCACUCUCACCCCUUCUUAAGGCCUCACAGAGCUGAAAUGAUUCUAGGGAAGGAUCUGCAGCAUGGCGUGACAAACAGCAGAUCCCAACCUUCUCCGACUCCACCACUGCCAAUCUGAUCUACGUCCCAGACAACUGGAAUUGUCACCUUAACUCACAGGUAGGGUUGGGUCACUCUGGUUCUCCCAAGAAAGUGGCUGCCUGUUGCAGUUACACUGAAGACAAAGCCCUUUGAGUGCUCUCAGGACUUGGGGACUUGGGGACAUGCUGCUUCUCUGGGCCCCAUCUCUUCCUUUCCAGCCCCCAUCCCCAUCAACCCCCUUUCUGUUAGGGGCAUCACCUUCUCCCCACCUCAAGUCUCAGGCUCUCGCCCAGGGUGGUCCAGGUCCCAGGCCACCCCUCCCACACCUCCAUGCUGGGGCCUCUGCCUCCUUAAGACCUGCUCAUGGGCCACUGGGCAUCCAGGUGGCUGUGCUGGGUCACCAGUGAGAUCCGCACCACUGUGCCUUCUGGACACCCGAACGUGGAUGUGGGGCAAUGUGAGCACAGGGUUUUCUGAGCAAGGAUUUAUGGGGACCUGAAAGACGGUGCAGUGGGACUCUGCUCAGUGUGACGCUCGUGAGUGAACACGUGCUUCACACUGACCAGGGUCUGCCUUGGAGGGAAGGAUGUGCUUGUGGUUGGGCCAAGGUGGCAGAUAGCACGUCACCUGUCACUGGGGAGCCCAGUGUCACCUAGGAUCCUAGUGUCACAUGGAAGCCUGGUGUCACCUGGGACCCUGGUGUCACAUGGGAGCCCAGGGUCAAUUGGGAGCCUAGUGUCACAUAGGAGCCCAGUGUCAUCCGGGAGCCUCACCAUGGAGGGAGUGUGGCCCCCUCCCCAGCCGCUCACACACCUUUUAUUUGGAAGAGAUUCUGCCUUUUCUCCUAAUAUACGAGUACGUCUGAACUUUCAAAACUUUUUCAUCUCACACAAUGAAAGAGUUAAAGAGUGACUGUUGACUACUUCUGAGAGGCAUCCACAUAGUUGGUGGAUCACCUGUAGGAACUGGCCAGCAUGGCCUUGAAAAGCCAGCACCUGCACGUGGAACCACCCAGGCUCUGACCCCCAUCCUUCCAGGAGCUGGGUUGCCAGGCACAGGCAGACCUGCUUUAUGCUGCUGCUCCCCAGGUGUGUGGCUUGUAGCCUGGAUCCCCAGUACAACUGUUCACGCCCCCAGCCCUUUACAUCUCACCAGCAUGCCACACGGUUAUCUCACUCCCACGUCCCACUGUCCUGCGAGGUGGCCAUCCUGCUCUCCAUCCCGAGGCUGGGGUGCCGCCCCUCCUAGAAC
rnacentral:lncRNA from 1 species